UACGAAGGGGGCAAGCGUUGUUCGGAAUCACUGGGCGUAAAGCGUGCGUAGGCGGCAUUACAAGUCGGAAGUGAAAUCCCUGGGCUCAACCCAGGAACUGCUUUCGAAACUGUUUUGCUUGAAUCCGGGAGAGGUUGGCGGAAUUCCAAGUGUAGAGGUGAAAUUCGCAGAUAUUUGGAGGAACACCAGUGGCGUAAGCGGCCAACUGGACCGGUAUUGACGCUGAGGAACGAAAGCGUGGGGAUCAAACAGG
rnacentral:rRNA from 1 species